rnacentral:pre_miRNA from 1 species
GAGGGUGUGGGUGUGGGUGUGGGUGUGGGUGUGGAUACGCUUCAAUUUAGACCCACACCCACACUCACCCCACAUCCACACCC